rnacentral:rRNA from 1 species
GGAGGAAAGCAGGGGAUCGUAAGACCUAGCGUUGAUGGAGCGGCCGAUAUCUGAUUAGUUAGUUGGUGGGGUAAGAGCCUACCAAGGCGACGAUCAGUAGCUGGUCUGAGAGGACGACCAGCCACACUGGAACUGAGACACGGUCCAGACUCCUACGGGAGGAAGCAGUGGGGAAUUUUGGACAAUGGGGGCAACCCUGAUCCAGCCAUUCCGCGUGAGUGAAGAAGGCCUUCGGGUUGUAAAGCUCUUUCGCAAGGGAAGAAAACUCGAUCUCUAAUAUAGGUUGAGGCUGACGGUACCUUGAUAAGAAGCACCGGCUAACUACGUGCCAGCGGCCGCGGUAAUACGUAGGGUGCGAGCGUUAAUCGGAAUUACUGGGCGUAAAGCGUGCGCAGGCGGAUUUGAAAGUCAGAUGUGAAAUCCCCGGGCUCAACCUGGGAACUGCGUUUGAAACUACAAAGCUAG